rnacentral:rRNA from 1 species
UACGGGGGGGGCAAGCGUUGUUCGGAAUUACUGGGCGUAAAGGGUGCGUAGGCGGCUUUCUAAGUUGGAUGUGAAAACUAUGGGCUCAACCCAUAGCCUGCAUCCAAAACUGGAGAGCUUGGGUUCUGGAGGGGAAAGCGGAAUUCCGGGUGUAGCGGUGGAAUGCGUAGAUAUCCGGAAGAACACCGGUGGCGAAGGCGGCCCGCUGGGCUAUUGCUGACACUGAAACACGACAGCGUGGGGAGCAAACAGG